UACGGAGGGUGCAAGCGUUAUCCGGAUUUACUGGGUUUAAAGGGUGCGUAGGUGGGUUUGUAAGUCAGUGGUGAAAUCUUCGAGCUUAACUCGGAAACUGCCAUUGAUACUAUAGAUCUUGAAUCAUCUAGAGGUAAGCGGAAUAUGUCAUGUAGCGGUGAAAUGCUUAGAUAUGACAUAGAACACCAAUUGCGAAGGCAGCUUACUAUGGGUGUAUUGACACUGAGGCACGAAAGCGUGGGGAUCAAACAGG
rnacentral:rRNA from 1 species